CUCCCCGGUUUGGUCCGGAGCGCGGCGGGUUUGAAAAAAUCCGCUCGAGGGGCAAAGUCACUCUCAGUCCGCGGCUGUGCGCGUGCGCGCGCUAGUGUGGCGGCGCGUGCGUCGUGCGUGUGCGCGAAUCGAUGAGAUACGUGCUUGAUUGGGUCUCCCUUGUUGUAAUAAUGUACAUGAGGAGGAGGAGGAGGAGGAGGUGGAGGAGGAGGCUGCUCCCAUGCAGCCUGCCUGGAGCGCACGGAUCAGCCGAGCUCUGGCGCCGACUGCCAAACACUUUCUUGGCCGCUGACGGUACUUUUCUCCCCCUCUUUUUUCUCCUUUACGUGACCUGAUAGGAGCUAUUUAAAUCAGCCACGCAGCGAAUCAGACGUGUCUCCCCCAAAGCGCCGCGCCGCGCUGCGCUCCUUCCUCAGAGUUGACCGGAGAGGCGCAAAAAAAGAAAAGAAAAGAAAAUCCUCCCGUCUUUUUUUUUUUAUUACAGUUGUUACUACUGGAUGGAUUUCUUCUCUCCCUACAGUCUGGAACGCGUGGCUUCACGGCGAUGAAAACAAUGGAUAAAAGCUUCUUGUAGAGGGAAUUGAAGAACAAGGGAGGGUAACAAGGAUCCCAUCUACACUACAACACGUUAUGGGAGAGGAUGGAGGACAGAGGAGGACGCUGUUCGGUGUUUAACGGUCGCAGUCUCACCUCUCGCUUCUUUUCUUCCUGCUUUUUUCUUCUUGUUCUUCUCCUACAUUUCAGAGGUGGUGGCUGCAGAGAUUUGCAUUUGGAUUCAUUGAUCCAGUGCAUUUGACCUCAACUGGAUUCAGCAGCCGAACAGGGGUAUGAGGGGCGCACACACACACACACACACACACACACACACACACACACACACACACACCUUUAAAGGAGAACAAACACAUUACUCUUUGCUAAGUAGGAUUUUCAGUCAUCUGUUCACGCCAUCCCUCAUUGCUCCAUUUUCAUAUCACCCAUCAGUUAGUGUCUCUCUCUGUUUCAUGCACACACACACACACACACACACACACACACACACACACACACACACAAACACACUUCUCUCCACAUCAGCCAUCAGUUUGUCCAACAGACACAUAAAUGUACAUUUUCACAUUCACGCAACUUUUUUUUAAACAUCCCACAUCAGAUUACCUCAGAGUCACACACACACACACACACACACACACACACACACACACACAGAAAUCAUCACACAUCAGUUCUAUCUUUUAAGGCUGGAGGAGCGAGGGAGGGGUGGGGUUGACAGGGCAGAAGAGGAAGUACACAGGAAGUACAUUAGUUAUCACUCCCCUGUCUUCUCCACCUUUUCACUUCUUAUCACCGCCCGACGUCUCAGACACGGGCCGAGCCACUUCUCUUUUUCUCAUCCCUUACCGCUCUCUCCACAGUCUCUCCUUCACACACACACACACACACACACACACACA